UACGAAGGGGGCUAGCGUUGUUCGGAAUUACUGGGCGUAAAGCGCGCGCAGGCGGUCCUUUAAGUCGGGGGUGAAAGCCCAGAGCUCAACUCUGGAACUGCCUUCGAAACUAGGGGACUUGGGUACGGGAGAGGUGAGUGGAAUUCCGAGUGUAGAGGUGAAAUUCGUAGAUAUUCGGAAGAACACCAGUGGCGAAGGCGGCUCACUGGCCCGUUACCGACGCUCAGGCGCGACAGCGUGGGGAGCAAACAGG
rnacentral:rRNA from 1 species